CUUCUCCUCUUUUCCUUACUUUCUUCUCUCUCCUGCAUCAUUUUCUCCGUUGUUGCGUUUUCUCCCUCAAUCUUCUUUUUCUCCAUUUUUCUCUUCCUCAAUUUUCUCCUCUUUUCCUUUUAUUCUUUUUGUUUCUUCCUUCAUGCAGGCGAUUACUAGCGAUUCUGGCUCCAUGCACGCAAGUUGCAGCCUACAAUCUGAAAUGAGGACGAGUUUUUACUACAACACACUCACCUUCAGGUAUUUCCUUCUUUUUUUUUCUUUCAUUGUAGCUUGAUAUCUAAUUUUUUUUAACCUUCCUUUUCUCUGUGAGUAUUUUCUGCUAUGGCUGAAGAAUUUGUGAAGGGCUCUGUUCAUCAAAACGGCGUUGCUCUUAUAACCCUCGAUCGCCUCAAAGAGGUAAAUGUUUUUUGCUUUGUUUGUGGUUUUCCCUCUUAUGAGCUGAUCCACGAAAGAGCAUCCACGAGGCAAGUUUGUUAGUUUUUGAUCUAUUUUUUGCAUGCUUCUUUCUGGUGACUCUUUUUUUUCAAAAACUGAUAUGUCUGAUGUUGUUUGGUGUUUAACAGACGAAUGUUCGAGGUAAGCUAUAAUGACCAUGUCUGGAAUGUUUUCUAAUAUCUAUGCAUGUUUGUUCGUUACCUUUUCUUUCCACCCCUGUCUUGCCUAAUGUUAUUUGGUGUAUGUUUUGGUUGUCAUUUAGGCAGGUGUCAUUCUUUGUUACUAUUGUUGUGCAUUUUACUUAGAGUUUGAUGGAUUCUAUUUUAUUAUGUUUUUUUCCAUGCUUGAUCAAGCGUGAUGAUGUAAUAUUGUUUUUGGAAGUUUUUGUCAGCAUUUCAGAGUCAUAGAUGAUGGAAGGAAGAGCAUUAACAUGCAGUUUUUGUCAGCAUUUCAGAGUCAUAGAUGAUGGGAGGAAGAGCAUUAACAUGUAGCAUUUCAGAGUCAGAGAUGUGGAACCCUGUGUCUUGAUCAAGUGUUAUUGAUGCUUUAGAAAGAUUCAGGACUUCUUCACGAGGCCAUCAGGGAUGCAAAAACGCAAUGAUUUGACUUCUCAAUAUAAUGCUGGUGGAUAUAUACCUCAGCAAGAUGGAGCUGGGGAUGCUGCACAUGGAGUUUUUGAAAUUGAGGUGCUAGCUGAAGGCCCCUUUUGUACGUUGUGAUGACACAUGUCUUCUUUCUACUCUCUCAGGGGAAGGCAUGAGUGAACUGUCUUUGGCAGAUCGUGCCACCAUAACAAACAUGGAAAAUAGUUAUGUUUGGAUUCUGAUUAUUUCUCAUGCUACCACGUAUAAAAACAAAAUGUUGGGAUAUAUUGAAGACUAUUUUUUCCAUAUUCUCUUUAUUGCAGGAUUUUGGUGGCUGUUUUGACAGUAUGUGAGAGAGUUAAUUUAGAAUACCUUGGUAGAGUUGUGUUCAACACAAAUGCCAGGAACUGAUUCACACACAACUAUGAUUGAUGGCCUUGGUGUUGCUGGAUGGGGAGUUGGUGGAAUAGAAGCUGCAAUGCUUGGCCAGGUUAGUAUUUAUAUUUUUUAUUAUUAUUAUUUUUAGUGAAUGACAAUUAAACCAAGGAUACCAAGGAUACCAAAUGCUCUAACAAGAGGAAGACUUGAGCUGGGACAUUGAAGAUGAUGAUGAUGAGACUGUUAAGGCUUGAAAUGUUUGAUGCAUUAUGUUCUGAUUUCUCAAUGGGAGUGUAUGGUGUAAGUGUCAUUUUCACGCAAAGAAAUUUGUCCGUGUUUUUAUAUUUUCAGAAAUUGGGAUAGAAGUAUUGUAGUUUGUUCUGUUCCUAAAAU